UACGGAGGAUCCAAGCGUUAUCCGGAAUCAUUGGGUUUAAAGGGUCCGUAGGCGGGUUAAUAAGUCAGUGGUGAAAGUCUGCAGCUCAACUGUAGAAUUGCCAUUGAUACUGGUGGCCUUGAGUUAUGGUGAAGUAACUAGAAUAUGUAGUGUAGCGGUGAAAUGCAUAGAUAUUACAUAGAAUACCGAUUGCGAAGGCAGAUCACUAAUAAUUCACUGACGCUGAGGGACGAAAGCGUAGGUAGCGAACAGG
rnacentral:misc_RNA from 1 species